GAUGAACGCUGGCGGCGUGCCUAAUACAUGCAAGUCGAGCGAACAGACGAGGAGCUUGCUCCUCUGACGUUAGCGGCGGACGGGUGAGUAACACGUGGAUAACCUACCUAUAAGACUGGGUAAAUUCGGGGAAACGGAACUAAUACCGGGUAACAUGUUGAAACGCCUGGGUCAACAGUGAAAAGCGGUCUUGGUGUCACUUAUAAAUGGAUCCGCGCCGCAUUAGCUAGUUGGUAAGGUAACGGCUUACCAAGGCAACGAUGCGUAGCCGACCUGAGAGGGUGAUCGGCCACACUGGAACUGAGACACGGUCCAGACUCCUACGGGAGGCAGCAGUAGGGAAUCUUCCGCAAUGGGCGAAAGCCUGACGGAGCAACGCCGCGUGAGUGAAGAAGGUCUUCGGAUCGUAAAACUCUGUUAUUAGGGAAGAACAAAUGUGUAAGUAACUAUGCACGUCUUGACGGUACCUAAUCAGAAAGCCACGGCUAACUACGUG
rnacentral:rRNA from 1 species